UACGUAGGGGGCAAGCGUUGUCCGGAUUUAUUGGGCGUAAAGAGCGUGUAGGCGGCCAUACAGGUCCGUUGUGAAAACUGGAGGCUUAACCUCCAGACGUCGAUGGAAACCGUAUGGCUAGAGUCCGGAAGAGGAGAGUGGAAUUCCUGGUGUAGCGGUGAAAUGCGCAGAUAUCAGGAAGAACACCCGUGGCGAAGGCGGCUCUCUGGGGACGGUACUGACGCUGAGACGCGAAAGCGUGGGGAGCAAACAGG
rnacentral:rRNA from 1 species